rnacentral:Y_RNA from 1 species
AUCGCGAAUGCUUGUGGAACUACAUUUUAUCCUGGUGUCGUGGGUUCGAAUCCCGCCCGUUGCGAGACGGUAGCUCAGUCGGUAGAGCGCAGAAUGUUCCGCAUCACCCUGGUCGCGAUGCA